AGUAUGAAGCGCGGUGCGGUUUCCAUCCGCUCCACUAGGCGGCGGAAGCGGGUUUCACCUUCACUCGGAGUCUCACUUCCUCGGUUGUUUGUCAACAUGACGCUUGAUGACAGUCACAACAACUCCACGCUCAGAUCAUUCGCUCUUAAAUGUCUCUUAAACAGCACAUACUUCAGCUCGAGCGCAAACCAAACCUGUGGGAUACAACGCUCAACUAAGAAGUGAUGUGUUGUUGGUUGGAAGCAGAGCUCUGGACGUGUGGACAGAUGUUGACUGUAAUGAUGGACAUCUGCUCAUGGACAGUGUGUCCAAAAGUAUAACCGCUGCGGGUCACAGUGCUGGAAGCUCCAGGGGGAGACCGUACUGAUAUCCCCCCUUCUUCAGGCGCGCCUUCACACACACUCCUCCAUUCACUCGUAUCGCAGAGACCUGGCUGGGAUCGAACCAGCAACCUCUGAACCGUGAGGCAGCGCUCUUACCUGCGAGCCACAGAUCUCUUGCUGGAGCACCUGAAGGAAGUUAUAUUUGACUGUGUACCUGUGAUUACCCAAUAAAGAAGUUAAAAUAAGCUGGGUAUAUGAUUUUUGGAGGUGGGAUUUGAACUCAUGUCUCCAUCACAGUCUCAUCCUCAGAGGAUGUGUGUUUAUCCACUAACCCAUCAUGAAUUUCAUGCUGCGUUUUAGUGUUUCAGUGACUUUGUUGGCUGAGAUCAAUUUAAAGUAAGCAAUAGUCUGAUUUGAGUCUGUGGAGCUGAUGAACAUUUCGAACAGGCUUUUAUUGAGAGAUUUGUUGUAAAUGAUGAAUAAUAAUCAUGGGGUUUGAACCAGGACUUUCAUGUUUGUGACUGAAGACUUCAACCACUGAGCCACAGAAGCAGUGAUGUUGUUUUUUGAUUUUAAAGUCAUUUAGAUUUAUUUUAAAGUUUAUAUUGUUGUAGGUUUAAGCUGAGUAAAAGACGUUUAAUGCCAAUUUGAACACAUCUCUGGUGCAGCUUCAUGAGUCAAAAUCCCAUGUAUAGCCACUGCACCACUGUGCUUCAGAUAAAACGGAUGGUUUACUAUCGUUUUAUGUUUGUAAUGUAAACCUCAUUUUCAGUAAAACUUGCUGGAUUUGACACAGUUCUUUUUUACACCCAAAGGCGUGAAACAAUUAUCCUCUGUACCACAGAGAUUGUGCUGAAUUCACUGUUGUCUUUGGUCUUUCACAUGAGCAUUUAUUAUAAUCAAUGCAGCAUGUCAUUCACAAAAAUCACCACAGGAGGGCGACACCAGUUUAGGUUUAUUUGACUGGACUGUAAUUCACAAAACUCACCACAACGUGUCUAAUGAGUCUACUGUGACCCAAGACUAACGAACGCCCUCCUGUGGUGUUUUUUGUGCAUUGCUAUUUUAGCUCAUUGUUUGUGUGUGAUUUUGUUCUGUCCUCUUCUACUAAAACAAACUGAAGUGCAAAAAAGUCAGAGGACCUAAAGCAAGCCCUCCUGUGGUGAUUUUUGGGAAUUACACCGCUGCAAAUCGAGUCUAAUGAACUUAAACAGGAAUUUGUUCUGUUCUAUCUGUUUUUGUUUAAAUACAUAUUUUAAAAAAAUCAACAAUUUUUCACGAAUAGCAGAAUGAGAGAAACUGAAGUGCGGUUUUUCAUCCGCUCCACGAGGCGGCGCAAGCGGGCUUCAGCUUCAGUCUGACGCCUUCGACUGCGUGACAACAUGACGCUCGAGAGUCACAACAACAACAACACGUGCGGAUCCUGCAGAUGAGAGCUGUCAAUGAAGUUUAACAACAUUUUUUCAGCUAAUCUGCGAAUAAAUCCGACACACGGUCCGAUGAAACGCUGGAAUCGAGUGUGACGCGACUCACCUAAGAAGUGAUGUGUUGUUGGUUGGAAGCAGAGCUCUGGACGUGUGGACAGAUGUUGACUGUAAUGAUGGACAUCUGCUCAUGGACAGUCUGUGCAAAAGUAUAACCGCUGCGGGUCACAGUGCUGGAAGCUCCAGGGGGAGACCGUACUGAUAUCCCCCUUCUUCAGGCGCGCCUUCACACACACUCCUCCAUUCACUCGUAUCGCAGAGACCUGGCUGGGAUCGAACCAGCAACCUCUGAACCGUGAGGCAGCGCUCUUACCUGCGAGCCACAGAUCUCUUGCUGGAGCACCUGAAGGAACUUAUAUUUUACUGUUUACCUGUGAUUUCCCAAUAAAGAAGUUAAAGUAA